rnacentral:rRNA from 1 species
GAUGAACGCUGGCGGCGUGCCUAAUACAUGCAAGUCGAGCGAACAGACGAGGAGCUUGCUCCUCUGACGUUAGCGGCGGACGGGUGAGUAACACGUGGAUAACCUACCUAUAAGACUGGGAUAACUUCGGGAAACCGGAGCUAAUACCGGAUAAUAUAUUGAACCGCAUGGUUCAAUAGUGAAAGACGGUUUUGCUGUCACUUAUAGAUGGAUCCGCGCCGCAUUAGCUAGUUGGUAAGGUAACGGCUUACCAAGGCAACGAUGCGUAGCCGACCUGAGAGGGUGAUCGGCCACACUGGAACUGAGACACGGUCCAGACUCAUAAGGGAGGCAGCAGUAGGGAAUCUUCCGCAAUGGGCGAAAGCCUGACGGAGCAACGCCGCGUGAGUGAUGAAGGUCUUCGGAUCGUAAAACUCUGUUAUUAGGGAAGAACAAAUGUGUAAGUAACUAUGCACGUCUUGACGGUACCUAAUCAGAAAGCCACGGCUAACUACGUG